UACGGGGGGAGCAAACGUUGUUCGGAAUCACUGGGCGUAAAGGGCGUGUAGGCGGCUGAAUAAGUGGGAUGUUAAAUCCCCCGGCUCAACCGGGGACCUGCAUCUCAUACUGUUCAGCUCGAGCACAUCAGAGGAGACUGGAAUUCCCGGUGUAGCGGUGAAAUGCGCAGAUAUCAGGAGGAACACCGGUGGCGAAGGCGGUUCUCUGGGCCUUACCUGACGCUGAGGAGCGAAAGCGUGGGGAGCGAACAGG
rnacentral:rRNA from 1 species